AGGGCGGGACACGUGGUAUCCUGUCUGAAUAUGGGGGGACCAUCCUCCAAGGCUAAAUACUCCUGACUGACCGAUAGUGAACCAGUACCGUGAGGGAAAGGCGAAAAGAACCCCGGCGAGGGGAGUGAAAAAGAACCUGAAACCGUGUACGUACAAGCAGUGGGAGCACAGGUUUACCUGUGUGACUGCGUACCUUUUGUAUAAUGGGUCAGCGACUUAUAUUCUGUAGCAAGGUUAACCGUAUAGGGGAGCCGUAGGGAAACCGAGUCUUAACCGGGCGUUAAGUUGCAGGGUAUAGACCCGAAACCCGGUGAUCUAGCCAUGGGCAGGUUGAAGGUUGGGUAACACUAACUGGAGGACCGAACCGACUAAUGUUGAAAAAUUAGCGGAUGACCUGUGGCUGGGGGUGAAAGGCCAAUCAAACCGGGAGAUAGCUGGUUCUCCCCGAAAGCUAUUUAGGUAGCGCCUCGUGAAUUCAUCUCCGGGGGUAGAGCACUGUUUCGGCUAGGGGGCCAUCCCGGCUUACCAACCCGAUGCAAACUGCGAAUACCGGAGAAUGUUAUCACGGGAGACACACGGCGGGUGCUAACGUCCGUCGUGAAGAGGGAAACAACCCAGACCGCCAGCUAAGGUCCCAAAGUCAUGGUUAAGUGGGAAACGAUGUGGGAAGGCCCAGACAGCCAGGAUGUUGGCUUAGAAGCAGCCAUCAUUUAAAGAAAGCGUAAUAGCUCACUGGUCGAGUCGGCCUGCGCGGAAGAUGUAACGGGGCUAAACCAU
rnacentral:rRNA from 1 species